rnacentral:rRNA from 1 species
AUCUGGGCGGCGGAAUUCAGGAUGGCUGGCGGGCUUCGCGCUUGUCCGGUCGUUUGAUAUUUCCGUCGCCGUGUCGGACGUCGCGACCUGAUUCAUCGUCGGUCCCUGCUCGGAGGAAUNGCGAUCGAGUUCGUUGCGCGGUGCGUUUCGGCGUGCCGAGCGGCGAAGACGCGGCUCUCUGGCUGACGGCGGACAGUAAGCAACGGUGUCCGGCGUCGUGUCUCGCACUCGACGCCGGUGCCGGUCUGCGACGAUUUCUUCGGGCCUCUUUCCGACCCGUCUUGAAACACGGACCAAGGAGUCUAACAUGCGCGCGAGUCGCGGGGUUUCGAGCGUACCACGGUGCGCUCGUUACUUGCGAAACCCGUACGUUGAAGGCGUAAUGAAAGUGAACAGGGAAGAUGGCGUUCCGAGUCCACGUACCGUGAUCGUGUGUCGCGGCCGGACGUCCGCACUCCCGGGGCGUCUCAAUAGCUCGUCGCGGAUGCGGACGGUCGUCUCUCGGGGCGGCUGUCGGUCUGCGACGGACAGA